GCCUUCGUGGUGUAGUGGUCAGCACGCUCGGCGCUAUUCGACAGGUCCGUGGUUCGAAUCCCGGCUAGGGCU
rnacentral:tRNA from 1 species